UGUUUCUUGAUUUUUUUUUAGGCUCUUGCAUGUCGGCGGAUCUAAGCCCAGAUUAGCCUCUCCUCACUCUCCUCGCACACAUCUCUUCCUCGCUCAAAUCACACCAGAUUUGGUGUUCGUAGUACAACUUCGGGUUGGGCUCGGAGAACUGUGUAAUUUCCCGUUCUAUGCUCAGCUUCGGAGCCCGAUCAGAAUGCCGAAUCCGAACCGAAAACGUCGUCAUCUCCGCCAUCGUCUUCGUUUGAUUGGGUUUCUUGAAACGACCUUCUUGACCUUUCAGGAUAAAGUGUUCCACUUCCAUUGUUUUGAAUGCUUGCACAUGGAUUAGUUGCCACACAGUGUACAAUAUAUUGUUGACUGCAAAGAGUUUACCUUAUGGAUUUGGGAAUUCUGAUGCUAGCGUGGUUUUACUUGGGACUACAACCUCCAUGGCAGCUGCUAGUGCUUGUUUCUUAUACAUUCUUAGCACACAGUUUUCAGGAACUUCGUGCUUCGUAUUGUUUGUGAUCGGCUUUCCUUUCCUUCAGCUUAUUUCAUCACUUUAAAGGAGUCAAUCAUUAAGGACAUAACCGAAAACCCUUAAUAUGAUGCUGGCAAGCUGCUAUUAAGUCCUCAAUGUACCAAUUACACUGUUGGUGAGUUUAUGCAGCUUCUAUGAGUCAAAUCAAUACCUAAAAAGGAGUUGUUGGGUGUACCAAUUGUUUCUCCAGUAUUGAUCUGUACAUGUACCCUAGUUAUUUCUCAAUUGCUAUCCAAGAUAUAUGGAGCAUUUUCAAAUGUCGAUACUGGCAUCCAGUGAGACCUUUAUGUUGCAAAUGGCUCUGAACAGCUAGCAGGCAUCAUCAACCUCAAUAUGCUACUCUGGUGGGAAGGUGAAUGAGGUACCUGUAAUAAGAAUUUACGGCUCUACUCCGGCCGGUCAGAAAGCUUGUCUGCACAUUCACAGA